AUGGUGGGAAAGAUGCCCAACGUCACCUGGCCUGAGGGCUCUUUUGUGGAGACCGUAAAGGGGUGGCAGUCGGGGUGGUUCUACAUCACCGAGCCACGCAAUACAAACUGGGCGGCGGCCCCCAAAUUUCAAUUCGGCGUCCCCAUGCGGCUCACCUCCUGGAAAGAGAAGGGCUUAGCCUGGGGCUCCGCGGUAGAGCUGACCGGACUUCAGACCUGCGUCCGGAAUAUGAUAAGCAAGAAAAUCAAGCUCGUCAACGUAGUACAAGUUAUGCUCCUCCACCGGAUCCUUCCGUGCCAGAGACGGGUUUGCAAUCUGUGGGAGUUCGACCCGGCCGAACACCAGAUGCUGCGAGAGCUCUUCGACACGCCACACGAAGAUGUCUGGAAGGUGCUGUUCAAGGCCACCGAGGUAACACCACCCAUAACCGAAGAUCGCGGACUCAGCGCAAAGCGCCCAGCCAAUCCGGACUGGGUAGCGAUAGCGGAGCGGAUUGACUGUCCAGCUCCGUUACCCGAAGAUCCAGAAUCGAAGCUUCUAACGAAGAUGUUGUUUCCGGCGCCCUAUGAGGUGCUAGAGAAGAAGGCCAAGAAGAUAGUCGCGGGGACCAGGAAAGGUCUUCGGCGCAAGGUUGUAUCGGACUCGACGUCAGAAGACACUGAGGCACACUCCUCCCACGAAGACGAGGAGGAGGAAGAGGAAAUCCCUUCCUCCCCAACCGGGAGGGAGAAGAAGAGAAAGGCCGCCCCACAGGGGGAGGCCGAAACGUCCAAGAAGGGAAAGACCUACCUUCCAGACCACUCCACCACGGCCACCUACAACAGCGAGAAGUGGUUGCCCAGGGACAAGCCCCUGGCUAAGUCUUCGACCAAAUCUCACAUCGAGGUAUCCUCUUCGGAGGAGUCCCUAGACCCGUCGGCGAUGAACAAUGAUUCACUCCCGAUAGCCUCCUCCCCCAGGCCCACGAACGACACCGAAGUGUUGCCCCAGAGGAUACCGGACCAGGGGGAGACAGUUCUGGAGACGCCCCCAGGUGAGAUCCCAAUCGCUGGGGACAUGGGGGGGGGGGGAGAAGACCCCCAUGGACUCUGA
rnacentral:rRNA from 1 species